UACGAAGGGUGCAAGCGUUAAUCGGAAUUACUGGGCGUAAAGGGUGCGUAGGCGGUUGUUUAAGUCUGUCGUGAAAUCCCCGGGCUCAACCUGGGAAUGGCAAUGGAGACUGCACGGCUAGAGUGUGUCAGAGGGGGGUAGAAUUCCACGUGUAGCAGUGAAAUGCGUAGAGAUGUGGAGGAAUACCGAUGGCGAAGGCAGCCCCCUGGGAUAACACUGACGCUCAUGCACGAAAGCGUGGGGAGCAAACAGG
rnacentral:rRNA from 1 species